rnacentral:rRNA from 1 species
CGCCUUGCCAGCCGCUCAGAACUUAAAGGAAUUGACGGGGCCGCACAAGCGGAGGAGCAUGUGGUUUAAUUCGAUGAUACGCGAGGAACCUUACCUGGGCUCGAACGUAAGAUGACUGUAGGUGAAAGCUUACAUCUCUUCGGAGCAUUUUACGAGGUGCUGCAUGGUUGUCGUCAGCUCGUGCCGUGAGGUGUCGGGUUAAGUCCCAUAACGAGCGCAACCCCUACCUUUAGUUGCCAUCAGGUAAUGCUGGGGACUCUAAAGGAACUGCCUACGCAAGUAGUGAGGAAGGCGGGGAUGACGUCAAAUCAGCACGGCCCUUACGUCCAGGGCUACACACGUGCUACAAUGGCCGAUACAGAGGGCAGCUACCUGGUGACAGGAUGCAAAUCUCCAAAGUCGGUCUCAGUUCGGAUCGGAGUCUGCAACCCGACUCCGUGAAGUUGGAUUCGCUAGUAAUCGCGCAUCAGCCAUGGCGCGGUGAAUACGUUCCCGGGCCUU